CAAGUGAUUGCAUAACCUUUUUAUUUAUCAGAAAGGCAAAAAACACAAAACUAUUUCACUGUCUGAUACUCUUACAUAACAUGUGAAUUUCUAAGACUAAACGGAAACCUACAUAUUUACAUAUCUGAAUAUAAAUUACCAAUUCAUCGAAAGUGUGUCACUAUCCCAUUACCAGGUCGAUCAAAAGAGCAUAGCAUCGUUGGGUCAAGAUGCAAAGCUCGAAAGUCAUAGCCUCAAAACUUUACGCAUUUCGUCUGCAUAAUGGUUAUCGCUGAAAACAGGAUCCACUGAAACGGUCACAGUAGCCAUGAAGUAGGAUGAAAGAAAAAAUAGCAUGCAUGUCGAUGCAGUACUCUCUGGAUGGAAAAGCAAAAGAAAACCACUUUUACUUUUCACGACCGGUCAUGGUAAAAAGCAGGCAUAUUCUUUCUCUGGAACUACAGUUUGAAGUGUAAAAGGAAAGUACGUUCGAUCACGAUGCGCUAGCUGGGGUCUUCUGUCUGCUAAGAGAAGCUCAGGUAUUGAAAAACAUUUGGUCAAUCUAAUAGAUGAUAUUGUGUUUGUCUAACAAACUUUAGCAUGUUGUAUUUUCUACAAUAGGAUUCGUACCUGUAUAAAUAUUGAUUAUUCAGCUAUAGCGGUUUUGUUCGCAUUCUCUUCUAAUUAAGUUUUCAUAGAAUAUUGAAAAUAUGAACAAAAAGUCGGUGGUUAUUGUUAGAGACAUAACUGGAUGAUGUGAAUAAGAAUAGAACUAACAUGUUUCUUCACACUUCUGAAUAUCUGAAAUCGUUUUCAUAAGUUGAUAGAUUAUAUCGAAAAGUUCAUUAAUGAAUAAUUUACUAAUACUUAAAAAUCAAACUAAAAAGGUAACGAGAGGAUGCAAUGUUGCUUACUGCACCAGAACCAUCAAACUGCGCCGAAACCAUAAUCAAAGCACUAGAAUGACAAAUAAAAGACAUAACUUUUUCUCUUUGACACUCAUUGAUACAAAGUUUUCAAGAAAGCUAAAAUUUUGAGUUUGUGAUAAUUUCAUACUACUGAAGAUUUCAUGUCGUCGAUUUCAUCAUACACUGCUGGUCAUAUUUUCGAUAGCAUGGAGUGAAAAUUAUUAUGUUGAGUUAAGUCAAAGACAUCAUAUUAACAAGAUAUUCAGCUCUCACAUUUCCCGAACAAAUCAUUGGUAACAUCGUUUUUUGUUAGCCGGCGCCCUCAGACCACUUCAAAUCUUGUACAUAUAAGUAGUUGAGAGAAAUUGACAUGAUAUGUUGAAUGUGAUGCCGCGCUAUAGCGUUGCUAAUCUGAAGAUUGAUUUCGCUCCAAGCUGUCAGGGUCUGGUUAAGAAUAACAAGAGAUAUUCACGAUUAAGUUCUACCCAGUCCUAUAUAAGGUAAAUUUAUCGGCUGCGAAGUCCGUUGAAACAAAAAGGCCAAAUUUCACAAAAGGAAUGUAAUGCCAAGUCUUUACUUUACAAACUUAUAUCAGGUAUUAUCGGUAUUAUCGCGAUAAACCACAAAAUGCUAGAUCGCACGUAAUUGCACCUAAUUGAUUAUAAAUACACACAUAAAAUCAAUGUUUGGAUAGUAUCAGAUUUUUGAGCGCGUCCUUGUAUACCUCGCUGGAAUGUUUCUCCGGUUCUGGAGUAAUUAUGGUAAAAUUGACCGGCUUAGUGCAAAAACUUAGAAAGUUCAAUUUGAACUGCUAAGCAGACGUAAAGUUAACGCUAUUUGCGAAACACUUUUUUAUAUUGCACCGAAGCGCAAUGUCUUUGCUG